rnacentral:tRNA from 1 species
UGCUUAUAAGUUUAGUUAGUUAGAGCAUAGUGCUAAUAACGCUAAAGUUAUAGGUUCGAGACCUGUAUGGGUCA